UACGUAGGGGGCAAGCGUUGUCCGGAUUUAUUGGGCGUAAAGGGUGCGUAGGCGGUUUGGUAAGUCUCUUGUGAAAUCUAUGGGCUCAACUCAUAGUCUGCAAGGGAAACUGCCGGGCUUGAGUGUGGGAGAGGUGAGUGGAAUUUCCGGUGUAGCGGUGAAAUGCGUAGAUAUCGGAAGGAACACCUGUGGCGAAAGCGGCUCACUGGACCACAACUGACGCUGAUGCACGAAAGCUAGGGGAGCAAACAGG
rnacentral:rRNA from 1 species